rnacentral:rRNA from 1 species
GACGAACGCUGGCGGCGUGCUUAACACAUGCAAGUCGAGCGGUAAGGCCUUUCGGGGUACACGAGCGGCGAACGGGUGAGUAACACGUGGGUGAUCUGCCCUGCACUUCGGGAUAAGCCUGGGAAACUGGGUCUAAUACCGGAUAUGACCUCCUAUCGCAUGGUGGGUGGUGGAAAGAUUUAUCGGUGCAGGAUGGGCCCGCGGCCUAUCAGCUUGUUGGUGGGGUAAUGGCCUACCAAGGCGACGACGGGUAGCCGACCUGAGAGGGUGACCGGCCACACUGGGACUGAGACACGGCCCAGACUCCUACGGGAGGCAGCAGUGGGGAAUAUUGCACAAUGGGCGAAAGCCUGAUGCAGCGACGCCGCGUGAGGGAUGACGGCCUUCGGGUUGUAAACCUCUUUCAGCAGGGGCGAAGCGCAAGUGACGGUACCUGCAGAAGAAGCACCGGCUAACUACGUG